rnacentral:rRNA from 1 species
GACGAACGCUGGCGGCGUGCUUAACACAUGCAAGUCGAACGAAGUGGCGAACGGGUGAGUAACGCGUAAUCAACCUGCCCUUCAGAGGGGGACAACAGUUGGAAAAGACUGAUAAUACCGAAUACUGAAGGAGGGGCUUGCGUCGUAUUCGCUCGUUGGAGGGGUAACGGCCCACCAAGGCGAUGAUCAGUAGCCGGUCUGAGACGAUGGACGGCCACAUUGGGACUGGGCCACGGCCCAGACUCCUACGGGAGGGAGCAGUGGUGAAUCUUCCGCAAUGGGCGGCAGUCUGGCGGAGCAACGCCGCGGGAGUGAUGACGGCCUUCGGGUUGUAAAGCUCUGUUAAUCGGGGCGCGGUACCGGAAUAGAAAGCCACGGCUAACUACGUGCCAGCAGCCGCGGUAAUAC